CCUUUGAUUAUCCCAGGUAGAAUGAGCUGCUUCUAACUCAUUGAUGUUUAUUUGUGUUUUGCAUCUCUUUUUGUGUCUGAAGCCUAGACUGUUUCUGAAUAAUAAUUCUAUAGCUUUCUCAGUGCUGGUCAAAGGCUAGCAGAGGGCUUUGUAUAUAAUCGUUGUUAAGAAAUGAUAGUAAUUAUAGUGACAGACAUGUGUCUACAUCUUUUAGAGGCAAAAAGGCAAGUAUUAAAUUACCAAAACAGUAAUGCAUCGGUGGCCCAAUUUGCAUUUAGAGGUAUUAAAAAUCAUGACAGAUUGCUUUCUCAAAGUGUUUGUUUUGCCCCCCCACCAUGUGUUUCAGGUCAGUAAUUAAGUUCCUCAUAUUGAACUUGUUCUACUUAUAUGAGAAAUGACUAUAUUUUAAAUCCAUUUUAGAUAUGAAAAUGACAAACUUGAAAAUUAUUAGAUUAUAAAGAUAACUUAUAAACUAUCCUCUAGGUGGUAACUCAUAUAGAUCCAAGGAAUUAGAAAAACCAUUUGCUUACAAAAAGGUGGACAACUUAUUUUCAUUUUUAAGAAAUCAUGAAAGCAUAAAACUCUUCUAUAGAAUGUCAAUGUCAAUUAGAGAUAAUACAUUAAAUAGAAUCAGGAGUAGUGGUGUUUUGCAAAUUUGCCUUUGAGAGACAUUUGGCAUAAACAGAUCAAUCAAGGUCAAGUGACUUUUUCUACUUCGGUAAAAUGGUGAAGCCAGAUUUUUGUCUUAGUGAACAAUUUACAGAUGUUAAAUGAUCUGUACAACUGAAAUAAAAGCAAUGAAUAGAGAGGCAAGUUUUUCUCAGUAUAACAGCUUAAAACCAUAUUAUGGAUACAGGAUGUCUAGUUACUAACAAAAGGCUGGACUAUUCAGAAUCAAUUCUAUACUUGUUUGUGUUAAUACAUCUUUCUCAGUAUGAGAAGUUAUUCCUCAUAAGGUAUAAAUAAAAUGUAUUCUCCAAAAAUAGAAUAUUUUUAACAGAUGCACGUCUAGAUGAAAAAGUCUAAAGGCAGAAAUAAGAGCAAAAAUAAACUUUUUAAAAACUUACAUUUUUUAUACCAGUUUAAAAUAUAGGAAAAUGUUUCAAAAAUGUUAGUUUAUAUGGUUUUUCAUAAUUAUUCUUUGACAUAAAAGCAUCAAAUAUAUUCUUCCAGCAGGAAUUGCCUGUGUGGAUCCCAGUGCUUAACAGAUGAACUGAAGUUUAUAAAAGGAAGAAGAAUGCUGGCUUUCUAUACCAUAAAGUUGUAUACCCAUCACAAUACUUAUUAACUUAAAUAUACAUUAGUUGGGAAUAUGUCCAUUAUAAAUAUUCACAGGGCUCUAGGUUGUACCCUGAUAUACCCUAUGUAUGCAAAUAAAGCCUCCACUAUAGUCUCAUGUUGCAGAUUAUUGGCAGUGGAUACUUUCUGGCGCCCCCCCCCCUUAUCCUUCAUCAUUCCCCUUUUGGGUGGGCUGCAUAUUCAAUUUGUAACACUGUUGAAAUUAUUGGCAGUGGAUACUUUCUGGCGCCCCCCCCACUUAUCCUUCAUCAUUCCCCUUUUGGGUGGGCUGCAUAUUCAAUUUGUAACACUGUUGAAAAAUCUUUCCUCUACUUACAUACUCUAACUCAUCUUUUCAUUAGGUGGAAAACCAAUCUUUUUUUUUUUUUUUUUUUUUUUUUUUUUUUUUUUUUGCUUUUUAGGGCUGCACUCGAGGCAUAUGGAGGUUCCCCAGGCUAGGGAUCGAACUGGAGCUACAGCUGGCCUACACCACAGCUACAGCAACAUGAGAUUCGAGCCUUGUCUGUGACCUAUAUCAUAGCUCACAGCAACACCAGAUCCUUAACCCACUGAGCAAGGCCAGGGAUCAAACCUGCACUUCACCACGACGGAAACUCCAAUCUAUUAUUUUUUUAAGCACACACAGGGUAACAUAUUGCAUCUAAGCGAGACUCAUUACUUGAAAUAUAAAAUGCCCCCUCCCCCCAAGCCACUUUAACUUCAGUCACUAACAUUAUCUUAGAAUAGUUGAAAUUAAGACCUUUUUUUGUAUCCUUACAUUCAUAUCAUAGCUUCUCUAAUGUGGUGGCCUCAAUAGAGUGAAGCACAAGCAGAUCCAUUUCUAAGGGAAAGAAGUUGCAUCUUAAAGACUAAAUCACAAGUUCUGGCUACUCAAGUAGGUGUCACAACACAGUGUGAGAUACUGAAAAAUGAAUGAUUGGCCAAUGGGGAAAUGCUCUAUAGCACAGAGACCUCUACCCAAUAUUCUACGGUAAUCUAUGUGGGAAAAGAAUCUGAAAGACAGUGAAUGUGCGUAUGUGAAUAACUGAAUCACUUUGUUGUACAGCAGAAACUAUUAUAGCCUUUUGAAUCAACUAUGCUUCAAUAAAACUUUAAAAAAUGGAUUAAAGACCUAAACUUAAGGCAAGAUACUAUAAAACUCCUAGGGGAAAGUAUAGGCAGAACAUUCUUUAACAUAAAUCUCAGCAGUAUCUUGUUUGAUCUACCUCCUAGCAUAAUGACAAUAAAAACAAAAAUAAACCAAUGAGAUCUAAUUAAACUCAAAAGCUUUUGCACAGCAAAGGAAACCAUAAAAAGAAAAGACAGCCCACAGAAUGGGAGAAAAUCUUUGCAAAUGAUGCAACUGACAAGGGCUUCAUCUCCAAAAUAUACAAGCAACUCAUAUAACUCAACAACAACAAAAAGCAAGCAACCCAAUUGAAAAAUGGUAAGACCUAAAUAGACAUUUCUCCAAAGAAGACACACAGAUGGACAGGAGGCACAUGAAAAGAUGCUCAGUGGCACUAAUUAUUAGAGAAAUGCACAUCAAAACUGCAGUGAGGUACCACCUCAUACUGGUCAUAUAACCAUUAUUAAUAAGUCUACAAAUAACAGAUGCUGGAGAUACGUGGAGAAAAGGGGACCAACACUGUUGGUGGGAAUGUAAAUUGGCACAACCACUAUGGAAAACAGUUAAGGAUAUUCCUGAAAAAUUAAAUAUAAAACUAUCAUAUGAUCCAGCAAUCCCACUCCUGGGUAUAUAUCCAGACAAAACAUUCAUUCAGAAAGAUACAUGCACCCACAUGUUCAUUGCAGAACUAUUUACAAUAGCCAAGACAUGGAAAUAACCUAAAUUUCCAUUGACAGAUGAAUGGAUUAAGAAGAUGUGGUGCUGGAGUUCCCGUUGUGACACAGUGGUUAACGAAUCCGACUAGGAACCAUGAGGUUGCGGGUUCGAUCCCUAGCCUUGCUCAGUGGGUUAAGGAUCCGGUGUUGCCAUGAGCUGUGGUGUAGGUUGCAGACGUGGCUCGGAUCCCGUGUUGCUGUGGCUCUGGCGUAGGCUGGCAGUUACAGCUCCGAUUCAGCCCCUAGCUUGGGAACCUCCAUAUGCCGCGGGAGUGGCCCAAGAAAU
rnacentral:lncRNA from 1 species